rnacentral:rRNA from 1 species
UGGGGAAUAUUGGACAAUGGGGGGAACCCUGAUGCAGCCAUGCCGCGUGUGUGAAGAAGGCCUUAUGGUUGUAAAGCACUUUAAGCGAGGAGGAGGGUACUGGUAUUAAUACUACCAGCUACUGGACGUUACUCGCAGAAUAAGCACCGGCUAACUCUGUGCCAGCAGCCGCGGUAAUACAGAGGGUGCGAGCGUUAAUCGGAUUUACUGGGCGUAAAGCGUGCGUAGGCGGCUAAUUGAGUCGGAUGUGAAAUCCCCGAGCUUAACUUGGGAAUUGCAUUCGAUACUGGUUAGCUAGAGUGUGGGAGAGGAUGGUAGAAUUCCAGGUGUAGCGGUGAAAUGCGUAGAGAUCUGGAGGAAUACCGAUGGCGAAGGCAGCCAUCUGGCCUAACACUGACGCUGAGGUACGAAAGCAUGGGGAGCAAACAGG